rnacentral:lncRNA from 1 species
CGAAUUACUUACGCCAUGGAUAAUAAACCCGCUGUCUGUAUGAGGAGGAGGUAAGAAAACUUCAUCUGCAGUCGCCUAAACCUGGGGAGACAUAAAACCAAUCCAAGCAUCAGCAGAUAUGAUUCAGAAAGCUACAGCCAUGAGCAUGCACAAAGGAAGUGGGUUUACUUUUCAUGUCAUCAGCUUUGAGAAGAGUGAAGAAAUUAAACUUUUCGGAGGCUUUAACCUCCAGUAAGCCGCAAUGACCCAGCAAGUGUUCACAGAAAGGAUGUUCUCAUCUCUUCACAUCAUCCUACGUAAGUAGAAAAGAGAGAGAAAAAGAUAAUCUGAAAAAUCUGGUUUGUGC